UGGGGAAUUUUGCGCAAUGGGCGAAAGCCUGACGCAGCAACGCCGCGUGAGUGAUGAAGGCUUUCGGGUCGUAAAGCUCUGUCAAGGGGAAAGAAGUGUAGAGUGGUUAAUACCCGCUUUACUUGACGGUACCCCUGAAGGAAGCACCGGCUAACUCCGUGCCAGCAGCCGCGGUAAUACGGGGGGUGCAAGCGUUGUUCGGAUUUAUUGGGCGUAAAGCGCGUGUAGGCGGUUUGUUAAGUCUGAUGUGAAAGCCCUGGGCUCAACCCAGGAAGCGCAUUGGAUACUGGCAGACUUGAAUACGGGAGAGGGUAGUGGAAUUCCUGGUGUAGGAGUGAAAUCCGUAGAUAUCAGGAGGAACACCGGUGGCGAAGGCGGCUGCCUGGACCGAUAUUGACGCUGAGACGCGAAAGCGUGGGUAGCAAACA
rnacentral:rRNA from 1 species